rnacentral:rRNA from 1 species
UACGGAGGGAGCUAGCGUUGUUCGGAAUUACUGGGCGUAAAGCGCACGUAGGCGGCUUUACAAGUCAGAGGUGAAAGCCUGGAGCUCAACUCCAGAAUUGCCUUUGAGACUGUAUCGCUUGAACACGGGAGAGGUGAGUGGAAUUCCGAGUGUAGAGGUGAAAUUCGUAGAUAUUCGGAAGAGCACCAGUGGCGAAGGCGGCUCACUGGACCGUUGUUGACGCUGAGGUGCGAAAGCGUGGGGAGCAAACAGG